rnacentral:rRNA from 1 species
GACGAACGCUGGCGGCGUGCUUAACACAUGCAAGUCGAACGAUAAAGCAGAGAGACGCUACCUUCAGUUCAAGUUUCACUUCGGAUUAGUGGCAGACGAGUGAGUAACGCGUUAGCAACCUACCUCUUACAAAGGGAUAGCCUCGGGAAACGGUGAUUAAUACCAUAUGACACAUUCAUAACGCAUCUUAAGACUGUUAAAGGUACGGCGGUAAGAGAUGGGCUAGCGUCCCAUUAGCUAGUUGGUGAGGUAACGGCGCACCAAGGCGACGGCGGGUAACCUGCAUGAGAGAGUGAAUCGUCACUCCGGAACUGAGACACGGUCGAGAAUACUACGCGAUGGAGGAGUGGGUAAUAUUGCCCAACCGAGGGAAUUCUGAUGCCGCGCCGCUGGGUGAGCCAUGAAGUAAGGAGUGUAGUACAGCUCUGUUAUAUGGGAAGAAAAUGACGGUACCAAAGGAGAAAGCCCCAGCUAACUACGUG